rnacentral:lncRNA from 1 species
AUUUAUUUAUUUAUUUAAUUAAAAAUAUUUUCCCAUGUUUCCACCAUUCAUUUUCUUUCCCUUCCCCCUCUCAGAGCUGACAAGUGUAAGAAAGAAAGUAAACAGAGAGAACUACUACUGCUUGAAAUGGAGAAAGGAAACAGCAAGCAAGCUCUGCAUGUACUCUCUUAAAGGAGAAAACAUCUAUCAGGACUGUGAACCAAAGGCAAGCAGAUACCCACUCAACUUGGCUGGCCUCUGGUUAUACUGACUGGGCACCAAGGAUGGAUCUGGCAAGGCUCUGUUGUGGACAGCCAAAGGCAGAAAUCUUGGAGAGUGUUUUUUAUGGGGAUACAGGGCAUCUGCAGACAUAAAAAGCAGAAGAAAUGCUUGUUAGUUAUGGGGAAGGUGAAAAGCUUAGAAAACUGAUUAGCGUAGCACUGUGGUCAGAUUGAAAUGAAAGCUCAGUAGCAUAAUCAUUAAUUGGGUGCUUACCUACUAAUUUGAGCUUGGAUGUCAGCAGUACUGCUCUUCAUUUCAAACCCAGGGUCAGACUUUAAUGCUACAUCAUAAAUUACGUAAAGGCACAACACUAACAAUUAGAUAAUUAUGGAGACCCAUGCUGUUGCAAUUUAGCUGGGCAAGUUCAGGGCAAACAUGACAGAAAUAGGGCUUAACCCUGGAUCUGCUGGCAUUUUUUCAAUGUGACAGCCAACGGAAUGUGCAGGGUGAUAUCUUCAGGUAGAUUUAGAAUCUGAUGGGUUAAAGUACUUCUUCUAGUAGUUGAAUUCAUCAGAUGCCCUCAGUGAACCCAGGAGAAAUAUUAGAGAAGUGUUAAUUGCAUCUUCAAAAACCUUGUCUUUCAAUUCAUUCCAACUGAUGAUAUGUGAUAUUUUUAAUCAAAACUAAUUUCUAAAGUUGUAGGGAUUUUUUCCUCAUGUAUGAAAUGGGCAGUUCUAUAACCCACAGUUCCUAUCAUAACAGAUGACCUUAAAUGGGUCAUUUGAGGCUAAUUCUUAUUUUGUACUACCUGUCCCUUUUUUCAAGCAUACAAAACUAGUACAUAGCUGUCAUACUAUUAUUGCCCAGUCAGUCAAAAUAAUUCAGUGUUUUCAUGAUUGAUAUAAGUGAUCAAGUAUGUAUUGUCUGGGUGGUGAUUUGCAUCAA